rnacentral:rRNA from 1 species
UACAGAGGGUGCGAGCGUUGUCCGGAAUCACUGGGCGUAAAGGGCGCGUAGGCGGAUGGCACAGUCAGAUGUGAAAUUCCCGGGCUUAACCUGGGGGCUGCAUUUGAUACGUGUUGUCUUGAGUUCGGAAGAGGGUCGUGGAAUUCCCAGUGUAGAGGUGAAAUUCGUAGAUAUUGGGAAGAACACCGGUGGCGAAGGCGGCGACCUGGUCCGACACUGACGCUGAGGCGCGAAAGCGUGGGGAGCAAACAGG